rnacentral:rRNA from 1 species
UACGGAGGGGGCUAGCGUUGUUCGGAAUUACUGGGCGUAAAGCGUACGUAGGCGGAUUGUUAAGUUAGAGGUAAAAUCCCGGGGCUCAACCCCGGAACUGCCUUUAAAACUGGCAAUCUAGAGUUAUGGAGAGGUAAGUGGAAUUCCUAGUGUAGAGGUGAAAUUCGUAGAUAUUAGGAGGAACACCAGAGGCGAAGGCGGCUUACUGGACAUAUACUGACGCUGAGGUACGAAAGUGUGGGGAGCGAACGGGAUUAGAAACCCUUGUAGUCC